rnacentral:rRNA from 1 species
AGAGUUUGAUCCUGGCUCAGAUUGAACGCUGGCGGCAGGCCUAACACAUGCAAGUCGAACGGUAACAGGAAACAGCUUGCUGUUUCGCUGACGAGUGGCGGACGGGUGAGUAAUGUCUGGGAAACUGCCUGAUGGAGGGGGAUAACUACUGGAAACGGUAGCUAAUACCGCAUAACGUCGCAAGACCAAAGAGGGGGACCUUCGGGCCUCUUGCCAACGGAUGUGCCCAGAUGGGAUUAGCUAGUAGGUGGGGUAACGGCUCACCUAGGCGACGAUCCCUAGCUGGUCUGAGAGGAUGACCAGCCACACUGGAACUGAGACACGGUCCAGACUCCUACGGGAGGCAGCAGUGGGGAAUAUUGCACAAUGGGCGCAAGCCUGAUGCAGCCAUGCCGCGUGUAUGAAGAAGGCCUUCGGGUUGUAAAGUACUUUCAGCGGGGAGGAAGGGAGUAAAGUUAA